rnacentral:piRNA from 1 species
UGGCUCUUUUUUGCAUUUGACUGUGCACGU